rnacentral:rRNA from 1 species
GAUCCUGGCUCAGGACGAACGCUGGCGGCGUGCCUAACACAUGCAAGUCGAGCGGAGCCAAUUUAACAAUCCCUUCGGGGUGCGUUAGAGGAAGCUUAGCGGCGGACGGGUGAGUAACGCGUGAGUAACCUGCCCAUAAGAGAGGGAUAACACAGAGAAAUUUGUGCUAAUACCUCAUAUUGAAUAUUAAAGGCAUCUUUGAUAUUUGAAAGAUUUAUCGCUUAUGGAUGGACUCGCGUCUGAUUAGCUAGUUGGUAAGGUAACGGCUUACCAAGGCGACGAUCAGUAGCCGAACUGAGAGGUUGAUCGGCCACAUUGGGACUGAGACACGGCCCAGACUCCUACGGGAGGCAGCAGUGGGGGAUAUUGCGCAAUGGGGGAAACCCUGACGCAGCAACGCCGCGUGAAGGAAGAAGGUUUUCGGAUUGUAAACUUCUGUUCUUAGGGAAGAAGACAGUGACGGUACCUAAGGAGCAAGCCACGGCUAACUACGUG